CGGACGGGUGAGUAAUGUCUGGGAAAUUGCCUGAUGGAGGGGGAUAACUACUGGAAACGGUAGCUAAUACCGCAUAACGUCGCAAGACCAAAGAGGGGGACCUUCGGGCCUCUUGCCAUCAGAUGUGCCCAGAUGGGAUUAGCUAGUAGGUGGGGUAAUGGCUCACCUAGGCGACGAUCCCUAGCUGGUCUGAGAGGAUGACCAGCCACACUGGAACUGAGACACGGUCCAGACUCCUACGGGAGGCAGCAGUGGGGAAUAUUGCACAAUGGGCGCAAGCCUGAUGCAGCCAUGCCGCGUGUGUGAAGAAGGCCUUCGGGUUGUAAAGCACUCUCAGCGAGGAGGAAGGUGGUGAGCUUAAUACGCUCAUCAAUUGACGUUACUCGCAGAAGAAGCACCGGCUAACUCCGUGCCAGCAGCCGCGGUAAUACGGAGGGUGCAAGCGUUAAUCGGAAUUACUGGGCGUAAAGCGCACGCAG
rnacentral:rRNA from 1 species